GACGAACGCUGGCGGCGUGCUUAGCGCAUGCAAGUCGAACGGAAAGGCCCUGCUUUUGUGGGGUGCUCGAGUGGCGAACGGGUGAGUAACACGUGAGUAACCUGCCCUUGACUUUGGGAUAACUUCAGGAAACUGGGGCUAAUACCGGAUAGGAGCUCCUGCUGCAUGGUGGGGGUUGGAAAGUUUCGGCGGUUGGGGAUGGACUCGCGGCUUAUCAGCUUGUUGGUGGGGUAGUGGCUUACCAAGGCUUUGACGGGUAGCCGGCCUGAGAGGGUGACCGGCCACAUUGGGACUGAGAUACGGCCCAGACUCCUACGGGAGGCAGCAGUGGGGAAUAUUGCACAAUGGGCGGAAGCCUGAUGCAGCAACGCCGCGUGCGGGAUGACGGCCUUCGGGUUGUAAACCGCUUUCGCCUGUGACGAAGCGUGAGUGACGGUAAUGGGUAAAGAAGCACCGGCUAACUACGUGCCAGCAGCCGCGGUGAUACGUAGGGUGCGAGCGUUGUCCGGAUUUAUUGGGCGUAAAGGGCUCGUAGGUGGUUGAUCGCGUCGGAAGUGUAAUCUUGGGGCUUAACCCUGAGCGUGCUUUCGAUACGGGUUGACUUGAGGAAGGUAGGGGAGAAUGGAAUUCCUGGUGGAGCGGUGGAAUGCGCAGAUAUCAGGAGGAACACCAGUGGCGAAGGCGGUUCUCUGGGCCUUUCCUGACGCUGAGGAGCGAAAGCGUGGGGAGCGAACAGGCUUAGAUACCCUGGUAGUCCACGCUGUAAACGGUGGGUACUAGGUGUGGGGUCCAUUCCACGGGUUCCGUGCCGUAGCUAACGCUUUAAGUACCCCGCCUGGGGAGUACGGCCGCAAGGCUAAAACUCAAAGGAAUUGACGGGGCCCCGCACAAGCGGCGGAGCAUGCGGAUUAAUUCGAUGCAACGCGUAGAACCUUACCUGGGUUUGACAUGGAUCGGGAGCGCUCAGAGAUGGGUGUGCCUCUUUUGGGGUCGGUUCACAGGUGGUGCAUGGCUGUCGUCAGCUCGUGUCGUGAGAUGUUGGGUUAAGUCCCGCAACGAGCGCAACCCUUGUUCACUGUUGCCAGCACGUUAUGGUGGGGACUCAGUGGAGACCGCCGGGGUCAACUCGGAGGAAGGUGGGGAUGACGUCAAGUCAUCAUGCCCCUUAUGUCCAGGGCUUCACGCAUGCUACAAUGGCUGGUACAGAGAGUGGCGAGCCUGUGAGGGUGAGCGAAUCUCGGAAAGCCGGUCUCAGUUCGGAUUGGGGUCUGCAACUCGACCUCAUGAAGUCGGAGUCGCUAGUAAUCGCAGAUCAGCAACGCUGCGGUGAAUACGUUCCCGGGGCU
rnacentral:rRNA from 1 species